ensembl:piRNA 21ur-350 ncRNA
UGAUGAGUAUGUACUCCAUUU